GCUGGGCAUGGUAGCACACACCUGUAAUCCCAGCAGCGUGGGAGGCUGAGACAGGAGGAUCAUGAGUUCAGAGCCAGCCUCAGCAAGCAUGAGGCACUAAGCAACUCAGUGAGACCCUGUCUCUA
rnacentral:sRNA from 1 species